rnacentral:tRNA from 1 species
AUUCAAGUAGCUUAAAAAUAGAGCAUAACACUGAAGAUGUUAGGGUAAUUGUAUAAUUCUUGGAUG